rnacentral:rRNA from 1 species
GACGAACGCUGGCGGUAUGCUUAACACAUGCAAGUCGAGCGAGAAUCGUUUAUUGAAGGCUUCGGCUGGAAAUAGAUGAGGAAAGCGGCGAACGGGUGAGUAACGCGUGGGCAACCUGGCCUUAAGAAAAGGAUAGCCCCCGGAAACGGGGAGUAAUACUUUAUGAGAAUGAGAGAGGGCAUCCUACUUUCAUUCAAAGCGCAAGCGCUUAAGGAUGGGCCCGCGUAUCAUUAGCUAGUUGGUGAGAUAACAGCCCACCAAGGCAACGAUGAUUAGCCGGUCUGAGAGGGCGAACGGCCACAUUGGAACUGAGAGACGGUCCAAACUCCUACGGGAGGCAGCAGUGGGGAAUAUUGCGCAAUGGAGAAGAACUCUGACGCAGCAAUACCGCGUGAGCGAAGAAGGUCUUCGGAUCGUAAAGCUCUGUUAUCAGGGAAGAAGAAAAUGACGGUACCUGAUGAGCAAGUCCCGGCUAACUACGUG